rnacentral:rRNA from 1 species
CAAUAGCGUAUAUUAAAGUUGUUGCAGUUAAAAAGCUCGUAGUCGGAUUUCUGGCUCGGGGGAACGGUCCGUUCGGUUCUGCCGAAUGCGAACUUGUAUCCUUCGGCCAUCCUCGUGGAGAGCUGUCACUGGCUUGACUGUCGGAGGCAUGCAAUCCACGUCAUUUACUGUGAACAAAUUAGAGUGUUCAAAGCAGGCUUACGCCACUGAAUACAUUAGCACGGAAUAAUACUAUAGGACUUUGGUGAUUCUAUUGUUGGUUAAGCACCAGGGUAAUGAUUAAUAGGGAUAGUUGGGGGUAUUCGUAUUCAAUUGUCAGAGGUGAAAUUCUUGGAUUUCUGGAAGACGAACAACUGCGAAAGCAUUUACCAAGGAUGUUUUCAUUGA